UACGUAGAGUGCAAGCGUUGUCCGGAAUUAUUGGGCGUAAAGAGCGUGUAGGCGGCCCGAUUAGUCCGCUGUGAAAGUCCAGGGCUCAACCCUGGAAUGCCGGUGGAUACUGUCGGGCUAGAGUCCGGAAGGGGCGAGUGGAAUUCCUGGUGUAGCGGUGAAAUGCGCAGAUAUCAGGAGGAACACCUAUUGCGAAGGCAGCUCGCUGGGACGUAACUGACGCUGAGACGCGAAAGCGUGGGGAGCAAACAGG
rnacentral:rRNA from 1 species